rnacentral:rRNA from 1 species
UAGUGAAUUAGAGCGUCUCUUCGGAGAGCUCAACCUUCAUUUUCCAACUCUGUGCACUAUUGGCGGAUUAGUAAGCGAUUACUAGUCCGCGGCUCAUUUUAAACAUUAGUUAUUGUAUGUAAAUAAAAUAUAAAAUAAGAAAAACUUUCAACAACGGAUCUCUUGGCUCUCGCAUCGAUGAAGAACGCAGCGAAAUGUGAUAAGUAAUGUGAAUUGCAGAAUUCAGUGAAUCAUCGAAUCUUUGAACGCACCUUGCGCUCCUUGGUAUUCCGAGGAGCACGCCUGUUCGAGUGUCGUGAAACUCUCAAGCUUGAUGCCUUAGUGUCAUCAGCUUGGUUAUUGGACUCUGCUGUCUCCUUCUCUGGAACGGCUGGUCUCAAAUGAAUUAGCUGGCCCUUGUUGUGGGACUUGGUUCUACUCAGCGUGAUAAUCUAUGACCGCUGAGGACAUCUCUCGGGAUGGCCAGACCUGCCUAGGACUGCUUCUAACUCAUCAUUUUCAUGAUAUUUUUCAACUUUGACCUCGAAUCAGGUGGGACUACCCGCUGAACUUAAGCAUAUCAAUAAGCGGAGGAAAAGAAACUAACAAGGAUUCCCCUAGUAACGGCGAGUGAAGCGGGAUGAGCUCAAAUUUAAAAUCUGGCAGUCUUUGAUUGUCCGAGUUGUAAUCUAGAGAAGCGUUUUCCGCGCUGGACUGUGUACAAGUUUCCUGGAUACGGAACAUCAUAGAGGGUGAGAAUCCCGUCCUUGACACAGACUCCCAGUGCUCUGUGAUGCGCUCUCGACGAGUCGAGUUGUUUGGGAUUGCAGCUCAAAAUGGGAGGUAAAUUCCUUCUAAAGCUAAAUAUUGGCGAGAGACCGAUAGCGAACAAGUACCGUGAGGGAAAGAUGAAAAGCACUUUGGAAAGAGAGUUAAACAGUACGUGAAAUUGUUAAAAGGGAAACGAUUGAAGUCAGUCGCGUUUGCUUGGACUCAGCCUUACUUCGGUAUGGUGCAUUUCCUUGCGAACGGGCCAGCGUCCAUGUUGUCCGUCGGAAAAGGUGCGUGGGAAUGUGGCUUCUUCGGGAGUGUUAUAGCCCAUGUUCGUAUACGGCGUGUGAUAUGGAGUGGUACAG